rnacentral:rRNA from 1 species
UACGGGGGGGGCAAGCGUUGUUCGGAAUUACUGGGCGUAAAGGGCUCGUAGGCGGCCAACUAAGUCGGAUGUGAAAUCCCCAGGCUCAACCUGGGAACUGCAUCCGAUACUGGAUGGCUUGAAUUCGGGAGAGGGAUGCAGAAUCCAGGUGUAGCGGUGAAAUGCGUAGAUAUCUGGAGGAAUACCGGUGGCGAAGGCGGCAUCCUGGACCGGUAUUGACGCUGAGGAGCGAAAGCCAGGGGAGCAAACGGGG